AUUGAACGCUGGCGGCAUGCCUUACACAUGCAAGUCGAACGGCAGCAUGGAGAGCUUGCUCUCUGAUGGCGAGUGGCGAACGGGUGAGUAAUGCAUCGGAACGUACCGUGUAAUGGGGGAUAACGUAGCGAAAGUUACGCUAAUACCGCAUACGACCUGAGGGUGAAAGAAGGGGAUCGCAAGACCUUGCGUUAUACGAGCGGCCGGUGUCGGAUUAGCGAGUUGGUGAGGUAAAGGCUCACCAAGGCGACGAGCUGGAGCGGGUCUGAGAGGAGGAUCCGCCACACUGGGACGGAGACACGGCCCAGACUCCUGCGGGAGGCAGCAGUGGGGAAUUUUGGACAAUGGGGGCAACCCUGAUCCAGCCAUGCCGCGUGAGUGAAGAAGGCCUUCGGGUUGUAAAGCUCUUUCGUCCGGGAAGAAAUCGCACAGGCUAAUACUCUGGGUGGAUGACGGUACCGGCAUAAGAAGCACCGGCUAACUACGUGCCAGCAGCCGCGGUAA
rnacentral:rRNA from 1 species